AAAUGUUCAUGUGAAAGGAAGAGGAAAACAGCAGAUCACCACAAGGCUUCUGAGCAAUAGUUAGCCCAGAAAGAAGUUUUGCGCCUUUAAGAUUACUUCCGAGAACAAAAGUGGGGAGCGAAGAAGUGUGGAGUUUGUUAUCAAGAACUGCACUUGCUCCCCCACAUCCUUCUCCUAGACUGUGUUGUCUGCAGCACAGACAGAUGACUGAAAACCCAAAAGAGCAUUGGCAGCUCUCACCUGUGGCCCACUGGGGCCUGGCCUGGGCCACAGCAUUUCCUAGUUCUGGAUGGACUGAUAAGAGACUGAGUAAGCCGAGCUACAGCCCAUGGAGGAGACUUUCUGAGUUUGUCAUCUCUUCAGAGUGGCGAGAGGUUUUGUUGUUU